AAGCACAUCAUCCCUGCUGAGGCUGAAUUCCAGGUCCUGGCCAGCCUGGGAGAAGCUAUCCAAACACGUAUGUUUGUUCUGGAAUUCCCAGAUGUUAAAAUACAUCCAUACAUCUUUGGGCUAUCAUGGGCUGGGGGCUAGGGGAGACGUCAAAGAUAUUCUUUGCAAAUGACUGAGUGCUUGAGUUGCUCUCAUCUCCAAAGUGGAUUGUGCUGUUGUGCUGUGUAAAAGAUCCCCGUCCUGUCCCAGCAGAGGCUGUGCUGCAGUGGUGACCCCUUUAGUCACAAACUGUGGCUUUGACUGGAUCCAAACAAAAUGGAUAUGGCUGGAAAAUGGCUCUUCUCGGUUCCAUCGUUCACUGAUGAUAGAAAGUAGCACAUCCAUUUCACUUACCUUCCUUGGUACUGGAUUAAUCAUCAGAUGAAGUCAAGGGCAGCCACUUCACUGAGUUAAGGGAGCUGUCUUAGUUCCUUAGCUAUUAUUUAGUACAGUGAAAGUGUAUUGCAUGACAAGGGAAAACAAUCUAUGUUACACAAAAUUUUACUCUCCUAAACUAUCUACAUUCCUUCUAUGGUACUGUUUCCCAUGACUGUGGUAUCUUAGGAAGCUUAUUUUGUUAUGCUGAUCAUUGGUUUUGUUAUGGAGAUCAUUCUCCUCCAAAACUCUUCCAAAUACACCUUUCAGCUGUGGUUUUUCACUCCUUUGGUGCAGCAGUAACCUUAGUGCCUGUCAACCUGUGUCUAGCAGAUCUGUCUUCUUAAGAACUCUUUGGCUUCCUUUCUAAGGCAGGGCAAGGAAAUGACACUUUUGAUACAGUCGCUUCCAUAGCAGAAGUUUCUCUGAAGUGUGGCGUUCCUCUCCCUUUCUAUUAAGCCCAGCUGUCCUCAUAGACUCCUGUGAACAUUAAGACAUUCUGAGUAUAAAAGAGCCAUUUCUCAUCCACCUCUUAAAAUCUUCAGCCCUUACUUUUUUUCUAAGUGGUAUUUUUUCAGGAGUUCUUGACACUCGUGUGUGAAUUUGCUGUGCAUUUUGGAGAGUGAGUUGAAAAGCUUUUAGUGAAUGAAUCUCUAACAGCCCUCAGUCUGAGGUUCUCACCAAAUACUGUGUUGGGGGGGAGGGAGAUUACUAAGAAUUUUAGCAUAAAUCUGGAAAGUUUUCCAAGAAGAAACCUGAGCCAAUCGCUUCCUCCCUUCCUUCAUCUUACCUCCGUAGAGCUUUUUUUUAGCGCCCAUGGGAGAGCCCAGGUUAUUAUUUAUUGGAAACGGGGAAUCAAGGUAAGAAGAUGGUCUGGCAGCCCUGCUCAUUCCCAGAAUUAUGUCAUUUCUUUUGUGUGUGAAAUAAAAGAUUGUCUCUCCCUCUCGCUGUUCCUCCCUGUUCAUCAUUCUCAUGUUGUGGAAACAGCCACAGUUGAAAUUAUCUUCUCAUAUCUUGAUGAUUUUCCCACCCCAGUAAACGAGGCGAUCUCCAUCUAUGUUUAUCUUUAAUCUUAUCCCAUUGCCUCUGCUUCCUUACGUGAUUUCAUACAGUGUCCCUUAUGCUUCUCUUGGAGAAAUUUAGAAAAGCACAGAAAGAUCCUUGUGAUGAGAAGAUGUGCUCCCAGAGGUACAUAGCAGGUAGGAAAGAAAUAAUGAUUGCAAGAUACGUGUAUGCUAUUGCUAUGGGGGUCAGAGUUAAGGUUAAUUAAAUGUCUUCAUUUCGCAUUGUAUUUCCCUUAAGGUGUUUGAGAGCCUUCUAAGAGAACCAUUAACUUUGAAUAGCAAAGGUUUCUAAUGAAUACUUUUAUUGAUUGCUCUUGCAACAGGUUUGGUCUUAACUACAUGUACUGUUCGUGUAUUCUAACUUGAAAUUAUGUUGAAUCUUCCCAAUGCAAUAUUAGUAACUGGUAAAUUUUUAAUCAGAUAUGGCGUGUAAAUACUCCUUUUUUCUUUCUUUCUUCCUUUCUUUUUUUUUUUUAAAGACAAAACCAUCAAAGUGCAUAUUGUCCAUUUUUUCUUUUUCUGUGUUUAUAUAAACAUAAUAAGAAUAAAAUAGUCAUAAUAAGAAUAAAAUUACAUACAGCUAACAAAGGUGCUCCUACUGAACUAGACAAUUAAGCCAUCAGAAUGUGAAUGGUUUAGCUGCAAGGUAUGCAGAAAUACCUGGUUUGGAAUUUCAUACAUUACACAAGUUUUAAUUUUAAACAGAACAUUUUUGCAUCUAGAUAAAAUCUCAGAAUUGUUAGGUCUCUUGUAUAUAACCUGCACAUUAGUGUGAAAAAUGUAAAUGGAUAUUAAGUAGGAGCAUUUGUGAUUCAUUCCUUCUAUAUGUAUGAGCAUUUCUUUUCAAUGUGUUUCUCAGCUUGCAUGAAAACUACCGUUUUGCUGCCAUGGAAAUGAGAAAUAGUGAAAGUUAAUGGAAUGAUGAAUCCCCAUUGCUUGAAGACUUUCAGUCAGAGCUGGCUGCCUCAGAGAGUUACUGUUUCUGUGCAGGAGGAACCAGAGGAGGUAGUGACCUCUGUCUUUCUUUAAAGACCUGUGUCUUUGUUUAAAGCCCUUUUCUGUCCCUGAAAUGAUGUCUGUGAUAUAAACAACUUUGGUUGUUUUUUUUACAGUCGACUUUCCGGAUCUCCUUGAAAGUCUCAUGGAGGGGCUGAAUGUCUUUGGGAAUGCUGGACAGGACAGUUGGACAGGAACUGGUUUCUCUAGAGUUCAUUUGGCAUUGAGUUCACAGAUACCUAAUUAACAGGAAUCUUAGCAGAGAGCUUAUGUGCCUUACCACUGCUUGUUACUUGUGUAUGGAAAACCUCUCAGGUCUCUUUUGUUAUUAGAAAAAGAAAUUUCAGCCCUGCUCCUGUUCAGACGAUCUAUUGGCUCUGUGUUAGAAAAUAUAAUAGCACAGAUCUGAGAGCAUUAGUUAAAGACGUGAAGAAUCACACCCUAUGUUGUAAACGUAAAUUUUUGUGAAUUAUAUUUUAUUUAAGUACGCUUGGGAAAUUUACAUAUAGAUUAAAUCCUAAAUAUACAAAAUGUCAGCCUGUUUACAUCCUAAUGCCUUCACAUCAGACGGUGUAUGGAUUGGGUUCAACGCUGGAGCACUCCCCUCAUUACCUUGAACUAACACGUUACAACAGUGAGGGUUAAAAGGAAACAUUACAGACCACAGACAUGCUGGGGAAGUAUUUGAAUUGCUUGGACUUUGCUAUGAACUUGUCAGAAUUUUAAUGCACGUUGCCUGAAAAGCUAAUGAGUCUCCAUCUGGAGACAUAUAACUGAUUACGGGCUUAAUUAUUUCUCUUACCUGAACAGCUCCAUUCUUUGUUCACGCUCACUUCUACAAAAGCAGCAGCAGCAGUGUCAACUUGAAGGCUGUUAUUGCUCAGAUGUGCAUUCCAUACAGGCACACACCUUGUUUCUUUGUGGCUUUGUCUUCUUUUCCCUCUAAUUUUCAUUUCUUGGGCAUUUGAAAUGCUUCCUCCCCCAGGGUGAUCUUGUAGUGGUUAGCAGUUCAUCAGAGAGGAUGUACAGAUGCUAUUGAUAUCCGUGUCUUCAUGGAUGGGGCAGCAUAAUCUAAUAGCUCUCGCACUGAGAGUCACAACAGUGGGAUAAUAUAGAAUGAUCACUCCAACUGAAGUAUAAUAGCACUAAAGGAGGAAACGGAAGCUUGCAGAGCAAAAGAAAGCUGAAGAUGGACUUGAGUUGUUUGGAUAUUGAUAUAGCACAGCAGGAAAGGGUCCACAAAACCUAACCAAUGGGGCACAGCUGUCCAGGCAAAGGAUUUGGAACAUGCCUGUAGACUCACUGCAGUCCCCUUCUUUCUUCUUUCUGUCUUCAUCUGGAAGAAAUCGGGUUACAAGCUGCCUAUAUAAAGACUGUGCACAUUCAGCGCCUGGGGUUGGGUUCAGUGUGGCUGGGCUAUCUGGAGUGCUUUGCUGCAGGGUUUGGAAACCAGAAGCAGUAGAGUAGGUUCCCAAAGAUAGCAAAACUAAUCAGUGCAUUUCAGUUAGCGUGUUUAUUCAUCCAUUGGUGUAAGGGCUUGGUUUUUAUGGGCGCUUUUAUUUUUCAGUGUACUAACUGUCAUACUUUUCCUCACUCUUUUACUUUAUUCCCAUGAGCUGAAGCCAACCUGUCUGGGGUGACCAGAUGACCUCCAGCUCUGUGUUAUGGAGGCGUCAGGACAUAAACACUGAUGAGGCAAUGGGUGCAGCCACGUGGUAAUGAGGGCAUUAAGAUUUCAGUUUACUUUGUGGGAAUGCAAUGAUGAUGUUUUGACUUGCUGGAGACAGUGAUUCUGUGCAAGCAACAACCAAUUUCAAAGAGAUGAAAAAAAGGUUUUCCUUGCUUGGCUAAAACAUCCAUCGGAGAAGGUAAGUGCCUAUGCCCUGCUCCUGCAGGCAGCCAGAAAAAUGUCCCCAGUUCUUCCAGGCAGCUGUGAAAUGAGAACUUUCUUCUAACAGAUGAUACAUUCCUCUUAUUAGUUACAGCCCAGUGGCCACUGUCAAACACUUAUUAAUUAUUCCUCUAUUUUUUCCUUUCUAGCACCUGCAAGAAGAUUUUGCCUUCAAUAAACAGCACUUUAUUGACCAGCAGUUUGCUAUUGAUUUCUGUACUCAGUAAAAAUGUGGGCUGUAAUAUAUAGAUACAGGAUUCCUGAUUCUCCUUCCAUGCUUGUGGAAUUCAGGACAAAUUGAUUUUGAGCUCCAUGGGAUUACCUGGUGGUGGUGCUGUGGAAAUGAGAUGUUUGCCUUUCUGCCUUCUCCAGUCUUCUGUAAUUCCAUUCCUUUACGUGCUGGCUUUUUUGAUGUGGGUUAAGGAACGUGCCAUGGUGACCUUGCUCUGCUACUGCUGCAUACGUGGCUGUGCUAAGAGUGCAGCUGAUAGCAUUUGGGGUCUGGGGGAGAACAGGGGUUGAGGACUCCUGCCACAGCUGCUCCUGCAUUGCCAGGAGGGGCCAAGGGAAGGGGCUGGGGCUCCCACAUCAGCAUCACUGACCUGGGGGAAUGUUUACAUCCUACUGGUGCAUCUUCUUCCUUUGGAAGCUGUUGUGAAGAGGGAGAAACAAACUAUAGUGUCCAGACGUAAGAAAUGCUUGUGCUUAGACUGAUGUUUGCAUAGAACAGGGGAGGAAAAACGGGGUUUGUGCCUUGGUGACUCCACAAGCUCUGCAGCCCCAGGACACCUUAAAUAGCCCUCCUGGAGCUUGAACUGCUUCUCUGCUUUCCCUGGGACCUUGAGUCUGUUGGACCGUUAAUAUGUCAUUUUUUAGGAACACACCAAUUCACUUAACGUUCUCCCACACUGUCUCCUUCCCAGCUCUUGCUCGGUCCAUUUAGUUGAUUGCUGCGUACUCCUGUUAGUGCUCUGUUGGGCUGCUGAUAUAUGUUUAGUAGCUCUCCAUAGCAGACUAGUUCUAAAAAAAUACAGUGCUAAGAAUUUUCAACACAGGGAGCUGAAAGCCAAGGGCUGGGAUUGCAGGGGGAGCCCUGCUCUUGCCUCCAGCCAGAUGGGGUUGACAAGAGGAAAUUUUUGGUCCAUGCCUUUGCAUUAGUCAAACAGCUAUUAUUUAUUUGUUUAUUUGUUUGUUUUGCUUUCCUGAUUAACUAUACUUUGACAAUCAUGCUUGGUGAUGAUCGGAGCAGCUCUGCAUAUAAUGGAUGUACUCAGGUAAUUAGCUCUUCUGUUUAAAAAGGCCUGGUGGACAAAUAAGCUUCCCUUUCUCGUUUUGUUUUCUUUUUCUGAGAGCAGAGAGAAGUGGAAUGUUGAGCAGACCGUAUCCUGCAAGCCCCUGCAUGUGUCAUCCAUGUCUGCACAGGUGCAGAAGAGCAGGUCUCAUUCUCAUGCACUACAGCGGUGUGUUGGCUUCCUGAGCUUCCCACCCUGCACUAUCCUCACGCUGCCAUAGUGCAGUGUAAUAGCAAAAUCUAUUAAUGCUUGGUGCUUUCAUGGCCCAAACCCGUCAGGCUCCAUUUCCCUCCCACAUGUAGUGGGCUGUUUUACAGCUUUCUCAUGCCUCGGGUGAGCAGAAGCUUCCUCUUGUUUGCAGCUCUGGCAGGAGAGUUAUUGCAUCCCUCCCUGAGUGAGGGUGCUCAGCCAUGGGGUAACCCUGCAGCAUGGGUAGGAUGAGCUGAGCCCAACUGCAGCACGAACUGCUCUUGGCUUCUACUUGACCCAGGCUCAGCAGAGGCAUGAGCACGAGGGUCUGGUCUGCAGACGCUAAAUGGGGUCAAACUAUACUGCUCCUGCCAAAAUGAUUGCUCAGUGGGUGGCGGAGUGAAAUUGCUCUGGCUCAGAUUGAAAAGUGAGCAAAGCCAGUGGAGGUUUUCUUUGAAAGUGCCGACCUGGCAGGGGCUCCGAACUGGUCACAUUUCUAAAGGCUGGGUAAAAGGCGCUGCAGAAUGAUAGUGGUAGUUACUCUCAGGGUUUGCUGCAGCAUCUCAUCCUUUGUGCGCCUUACCCCUGUGGCACUGCCUAUGUGCAUUGCUGAGGGAGAUGAUCAGCUGCAACACCUUCAGCUAAUUAAUGUAAUCAGGUGUUUUCUAAAAUAUAACCACAGAUUUCAGCAGGGUAACCACAGAUUUAAAAUUUUGUCUGAGGUAGCAGGAAAUGUUCAGUGGAUAUUCUUUGCUUAUGAUUAAAUUUCCAUUCUUGAAAUCUCCUUAGGAAGAAUAAUUAGGAAGGAUCAUUUGUCACGGAGGGUUCAUGCAUAUGAUUAAUUUACUGCAGUCCAGCAAUUACUGUGGAGUGACAGGGACUGUCUGUUUGUGUGUUCCUAGCCCCGAGCACAUAUAUGGGUCUUUAACGUAUAUUUUACAUGGCAGUAUGUUUCUGUAUCGUGAAUUUUCAAAGAAAGUAGUGAAAAAGCCAUUGAUCUUCAUGGAAUUGUUCUUAUUUUUGCUAUUCCUCUGCUGUUAUGGUAUUGUGGCACUCACACUGUAGCCUGGCAAUAUAUCCUAAACGUGGUAGUGCAGUUAAGUUAACCUUCCCUGGCAGACACUUUUCAGGCUGUAUCUUAUCAGCAGUGAAGGCUUUGCCCCCAGCUGUCAUACAAUUCAUCCUUGGUUUCAUGAUCUCGCCUUCUAGAAAAAUUCUUGAUGGUUUAUGGAGUAAAAACUUGUCUUUGAUCUGAUGAGUUUUGUUCCUGUAAAUGCUGCUCUUCUCUGUAUUUAGUACUGAAGAAUUGUUUCUCCUUUCACUAACUUUAUUUCAAUUAUUCUUCUUUCUUAUGUAUCAGAUUUACUUAAAUGCAUCACGUCAUCUUGUGCAGAGUGAUUCUGAGAGAGAUUCUGCAGUAAAUGAGUAAAGAAAUCGCUGGUGCAGGAUUGCUGAAUUCCAGAGGGUAAAGGAGGAGCACCUGCAGCGAGGACAUGAAACAUGGAGUUUGCUGCAGUGAGCUUUGGGAUCUCAGGAUGUGGUACUUUGAAAUUAAAUUUCUCUAGUUAGUCUUCCAAAUAAGCAGCAUGCUACCUAUCUUAAAACUGCUAUAAACAAGUUUCAUCAUAGUAGGUUUGCCUGAGUACAAUCUGCACACCCCAGAUAAGAAGGAGCUACAGUUUACUUGGAUAUGUGCUUGUCUGGUGGGUGGCAGCUUAGUUCAUGUCUUCUGAAUUCCCAUAUUCACUUUUGCUGGAACUUGUAUCUCUACACUGAGACCCACAGGUGGUGAUCUGUGCAUCUGAAGGCAGAUCUGGAUGUAAGUGCUGAAGUUUGAGUGGAACUCUGGUUUUGAAUGGAAUUGUUUGGUUUUCUUUGGUGGAAUUAUGGCUAAAUCUAGGCUCUGGAGGUGCUGAGUACAAUGUGUAGUACUAACCCAGAUGGUCCCUUUGUCUCCUUAUGCUCCUUUAUGCUUUAUUUGUUGUUUUACCAAAUAAAAGUGCUGCAGGCAAGAAACUUAUUUUGAUUUCUUGUUUGCAGAGGAUCCAAUAAGAGCCUGUCUUAUGAAUGAGUCCUCAAGGCACUGCCAAAGUAACAUAAGUGAUAAAUAGUAAUAAUUAUGAUAAUAACAGAGAUGGCAUCUAUUAGUAGAGACACUAAUAGAGUUCUAAUAAGAAUCACAACUGAGUGAUGCUUCUUAAUCAGAAUUAAUGAUGUGUGUUGGAAUACUUUAAGGCAGGAUGACGUUGAUGACGUUGAUUCGGCAGCUGGGUAACCAUCAGCAUUCCCCGACCUUUCUCCAAAUAAGUUCAGGCCAAAUGUAAUUAGCUAGAAUGCAGAUAAGGAAAUUUUAUUAAGCUGUCUUUCCCUUCAGAGGUACAACUUUUUUGCAGUAGAAUUAUUUAUCACUGAAUUAUUGGAGUGAACACAUGAAUAUGCUGUUAACCCUUGUUGCCAUUGGAAGA